AUGAGGAAGCUUGGCAGAAGGACGAAACGUAUGAUGCCGCCGUUCUGCAAGGCUGGCGCCGGGGUGCAGGUUUGCAGGGUCUUCACGGCAUUGAGGAGGCUCUUCUACCAUGCAAACCCAGCUUUCAAGGGACCGACCAAGAGGGAAAAGGAUCUAUGCCGCCAGCUCUCUGAUCUACUUCACAAGGAAGAAAUCAUGGCCCGCCAAAGAUCGAGAGUGGACUGGCUAAAAGCGGGGGAUCGUAACACGGGGUUUUUCCAAGCUCGUGCCUCUGCCCGCAAGAGUAGGAAUCGCAUACGCAGUCUGCAAGCUGCGGAUGGCUCAGUAUGCGAGACCAAGGAGGACAUACAUGCUGAGGUACAGCAGUUCUACACUGACAAAUCAAUGGGAUGUAGAGACCAUCAGGAGUCUGUUUUACCCCCGGAUGCAGAUGCAAUAUUGGCCAUGCCUAGACCGAGAGGAGGAGGCAGAGACAUAUGGGCAUGGGCCUGGGAGAGAUCUGGCAUUUUCACAGUUCGAUCAGCAUACCGGCAAACGAUGCAAGCAAAGCUUCAACUUUCGGCAACAGUAGGCUCAUCUUCUAGAGCUGAAGAAACCUGGCGUGCAUUAUGGAAACUGAAUGUGCUUCCAAAAAUUCGAGUUUUUUGGUGGCGAGUUCUGAAAGGAUUCCUACCAAAUUACGGCGAGUUGAGAUGGCGACAUAUCAAGGAGUCGCCGCACUGUCCCAUGUGUGGACAUGAAAGCGAAACUCUAUAUCAUGCACUCAUGGAGUGCGACCAUGCGGUAUGGUUCUGGGAGGCAGCAGAGCGAUUUUUUGAUAUUCGUAUCCCAAGACUACACCCGAUAACAUGGUCCAAGGAUUUGCUUGAUCAUAAACUGUUUAAGCAAGAGGAGGCUGCUAUUAUGAUUACGGUGAUGUGGGCGGUGUGGCACUCAAGAAACAGAUAUACACAUGGAGAACAAGUGUAUCAGCCGUCGCAAUCCAUGAUCAUCAUAGAAGAAAUUGUGCGAGCGCUUGAGUUCCCUGUUAGUGAGAAGAACCAGCCGGGUUGUCCCCCACGAUGGCAACCACCAGAGGAAGGCUGGGUUAAGAUCAAUACAGAUGGAGCUACUGCCUCGGCACUGGCGCGAGGAGGAACGGGUUAUAUUGCCCGUGAUCAUCAUGGUUUCUUCCGUAGAGCAGGAGGCUCAAGGUAUGACGGCAUAAUUGAUCCACUCACACUUAAACUCCUUGCAUGUAGAGAUGGGCUUUCCAUGGCAUGUGAUAUGGGGCUACAUCGAGUUGAAGUCGAAACGGAUUGCCAGGAGAUUAUAAGGCUGUGGGAGUCACCGCAGAAAUCGUCAUUUACCAUCUCUUAA
rnacentral:rRNA from 1 species